rnacentral:piRNA from 1 species
UACAGUGUAGGGCAGACUUGAACCACUCA